GUUAUUUAAUAUAAAUUCUUGCUUCAGUUCAUCUGAAAAUAAACUGUAUUUAACUCAGGAUGGAAUCCAAUGUUCUUUCAUGGUUUUCUGUGGAGGCUCAAUCUAAGAGAAUUGCCAGCAAACGAUGUGACUAUUGGUAUACAGGUACCCCAGUUCACACGUGGGGCUCAGAGGACAGCUCAGGAGAGUCAGUUUUCCCCUUCCACUAUGAGGUCAGGGGAUUGAACUUCCACACAUCCUGGAGCAACGCACGACUAAACUGCCUCAUGAGUGACUUCAGGAUCCCAACGUUCCAUCUUUUCAAACAACCUAGUAUAUAGUUGCAAGACCAAAGAAUAUUUAAGAAUUUUUGUUCACCUCAUAAUGAACUCAAAAGACUUCUACUUCCUUAGUGACGAGGUAUUGACAUGGAGGGAGGUUGGUUAGUGACUGCUUCUGGUUCAGUUCCUGUUGAGCAAAUGUUGGGAAUCACCAUCUAUUAGGCUCAUCAAUAGCCCAAGAGAGUGGAUCAACAGCCAUUUGAAGCUACCAGGGCAGCUACUUAACUAACUAUUGGAUCGUCUAAAUCACAGAAGAGUUCCUUUGAGUCUGAAGACUAAUAUAGAGAAGAGACUAUUUAUAAAUAAUCUUCCUGUACAGCUGGCUAGAAUUUACACCCAUUCAUUGGGUCCAUGUUCAGCAUUUCAGAAGAUUAACAGUGUGAAUCAUACAACUGAAACUGGCACUGGCUGACUUCAGAAUGUCACCACAUCAAACACCCAGUUGGCGUCAGGGAAGAAAGUUUGAUGUAACUGUAUGUUGCCUAUAUGUUUUCUUAACCCAGCAGCAAACUUCCUGUGGAACCCGUACAGCUGAUGGAAUGUCUCCAUAGAUGACUCGUAGGUUGUCAGGACACAGCUACCGUCUUGUUAUGCUUUUGAGCCCACUCAUCCAGCCAAAAGCCCACUUGGCAAAACAAAUUCUGAGUUAUGUACAUGAAAGGACAAGAGGAAAAGACUUACAAAUGGCCUAAGAUGGAGAUCAUUUAGAGGAUACUCAGCUAGGGGAACAGCUCAAAUAUGAUACAGUUGCCAAAAUGAAUCUCACUUAUUCAGGUCGCUAUCAUGGUUCCACAGCACAGAUUACCAAUCAGUGUUACCAGCUCCAAUCUGUCCACUUGGUAUCUAGAUUAGAUUUCUUCUUUAUGUCAGAAGUGCUCUUUACAUAUGACAUUCUUCUUUGGCUAAACCUUGCUCUGCCUGAUUCAUUCUACCCUAUCUCAAUACUUUUCUACAAGAGAGUGGCUACAUUCACAGAAAGGCCGAAGGCACCCCACGAAUCAAGGGGAGCAUGGGAGAACUUUUCAGGACUCUCAGGUCUCAGAGAUCAUAGAAAUCUACAAAAGUAGGAAUGGCUUUAACUCCUAAAACCAGUAUUUUCUGUGAGAAAAAAAAAAAUUUAUCAAGCUGUCUUAUCGAAAAAACAAAAUUAGUCAAAAAGAUUCUGAUUGGACACUUUCUUAUAUACUGUCCCAGUGAGUUGGCCCUCACCCAGAAAUGGCCCAGAACUACUGUCUGAUGUCUUGAUAGGGGUCAGGAGAGACCUGGCUUCUGCUCCCAGUUUUUAUCCACUUGCC